rnacentral:tRNA from 1 species
UCCUCUUUAGCUCAGUUGGUAGAGCACUCGGCUGUUAACCGAGUUGUCGCUGGUUCGAGCCCGGCAAGGGGAGCCA